rnacentral:rRNA from 1 species
GGGGGAUUCGAUCCCCUUGAGAGCCCAGCUAACGCGUUAAGUAAUCCGCCUGGGGAGUACGAUCGCAAGAUUAAAACUCAAAGGAAUAGACGGGGACCCGCACAAGCGGUGGAGCAUCGGGUUUAAUUCGAUAAUAAGCGAAGAACCUUACCAGGACUUGACAUCCCGAGAAUCCUGUAGAAAUACGGGAGUGCUGCAAAGAACUCGGUGACAGGUGCUGCAUGGUCGUCGUCAGCUCGUGCCUUGAGGUGUUCGGUUAAGUCCGUAAACGAGCGCAACCCACGUCGUAUGUUACUUUUUCAUGCGAGACUGCCGGCCCUAAGCCGGAGGAAGGUGUGGAUGACGUCAGAUCAGCAUGGCCCUUAUGUUCUGGGCGACACCGGUGCUACAAUGCAUGGUACAAAGGGUAGCCAACCCGCGAGGGGGAGCCAAUCCUGAUAAAGCCAUGCCAAGUUCGGAUUGGAGGCUGCAACUCGCCUCCAUGAAGUUGGAAUCGCUAGUAACCGUGUAUCAGCCAUGAUACGGUGAAUGUGUUCCCGGGUCUUGUACUCACCGCCCGUCAAGCCACGAAAGAGAGGGGCGCCCGAAGGCUCUAGGCAACUAGGGACCACGGUGAAACUCUUGAUUGGGGCUAAGUCGUAACAAGGUAGCCG